GUGACGCAUUCCACACGGCGUAUUUCAGCGUCCCUCGGCGGCGCCACCGUCAACCAACCCCCUCAGUUCGAUUGGAAGCACCGGCCGGCGUCGUCGGCGGAAGCCGCGUUGCUCUCUCACGUUUUACGAUCGGUGUCUCUCGUUCAUUCUCCUUUUUCUUCUCUCUCUCUCUCUCCCUGUCACACACACAUUCUCAUUCUAAAAUACACAUACACUCACAUAUUCUCUCAUUCACAUUUACAAACUAAUAGGACAGACAGUCACACAUAAAAGUAUUGCAACAUUUGGUGUCUACUUUACCUGGUGUAUCUACCUGUCCGUCUGUCUGUCUAUCUGUCUAGUUGUGUCUACCUUUACCUGUACGCGUACGAGAUCUGUUCGUACUCUGUUCGUACUCUGUUCGUACUCUAUUCGUACUCUGUCCUACCUCUUGGGAACCCUUUACACUGUUAACACGGUUUCCAUAUCAAUUCACGUUACUUUUGAUCCAAGUUUUUGGAAUAUACAAAAAGUAUAGUAAAUUAUAUUAUAUAUAUAUAUAUAUAUAUAUAGUUACCUAGAUGGAAUAACGAAUAGGAAGUGAAAGAAGAAUAAGAAGAAGAAGUAGUAGAAGAAGAAGAAAAAGAAGAAGAAGAAGAAGUAGAGUUCAACGCGCAUGUGUGUAUGUUUAAAGAGUUUCGAUCGACGUUACACGGUUUCCCUUCGAGACACUCGACCCUAGUGACUUAAAGUCCAAAGGAGAUAGAAAAAGAAAGAGAUAGAAGAUAAACAAGAAUAAAAAAAAAUAAAAAACCGAAGAAAGAAGAAGAAAGAAGGAAGAAGAAAGAAAAGGUGUCCUCAAGGACACGUGUGCUGUGUUUUCGUGUAUACGUGCUCGUUGUUGUUAAUUUUUUUUAAUAUAUAUAUAUAUAUGAAAUAUUUGUGUGAGUGUGUACGUUGUGUGUGUUUUUCCUAAAUUCCUACCCUUUCUUUCCCAAACCCCACAACCACCACUACUAAGCCUUCAUUUCUGUUUCUUUCUCUGUCUAACUGCAACCAUGUUUUCCUAGACGGAUAUUUUACACUGUGAAGAAAAAGAAAUUCAAGUAGAAGAAUAAAAAGAAGAAUAAGAAGUAGAAGUAGAAGAUCGGACAAGAGUCACGGUUACUAUAGUGCAAAAAAUAAGAAUAAAAAGAAAUAAGAAGAAGAAGAGGAAGAAGAAGAAAAAACUUAAAGAACGUGGGUUGCUGAAAGGCACCCGAAAGAGAGUGUAAGAAACAAAGAGAGAAGAAGAAGAAGAAGAAGAAGAAGAAGAAGAAGAAGAAG